AGUGGCGAACGGGUGAGUAACACGUGGGCAACCUGCCCUCAGCUCUGGGAUAACUCCAAGAAAUUGGGGCUAAUACUGGAUAUGACCGCUGACCGCAUGGUCUGGUGGUGGAAAGAUUUAUCGGCUGGGGAUGGGCCCGCGGCCUAUCAGCUUGUUGGUGGGGUAGUGGCCUACCAAGGCGACGACGGGUAGCCGGCCUGAGAGGGUGACCGGCCACACUGGGACUGAGACACGGCCCAGACUCCUACGGGAGGCAGCAGUGGGGAAUAUUGCGCAAUGGGCGAAAGCCUGACGCAGCGACGCCGCGUGGGGGAUGACGGCCUUCGGGUUGUAAACCUCUUUCAGCAGGGACGAAGCGAAAGUGACGGUACCUGCAGAAGAAGCACCGGCCAACUACGUGCCAGCAGCCGCGGUAAUACGUAGGGUGCAAGCGUUGUCCGGAAUUAUUGGGCGUAAAGAGCUCGUAGGCGGUUUGUUGCGUCGGCUGUGAAAACCUGAGGCUCAACCUCAGGCCUGCAGUCGAUACGAGCAGACUAGAGUGUUGCAGGGGAGACUGGAAUUCCUGGUGUAGCGGUGAAAUGCGCAGAUAUCAGGAGGAACACCGGUGGCGAAGGCGGGUCUCUGGGCAACAACUGACGCUG
rnacentral:rRNA from 2 species